rnacentral:rRNA from 1 species
AGUGAACGCUGGCGGUAGGCCUAACACAUGCAAGUCGAACGGCAGCACAGUAAGAGCUUGCUCUUACGGGUGGCGAGUGGCGGACGGGUGAGGAAUACAUCGGCAUCUACUUUUUCGUGGGGGAUAACGUAGGGAAACUUACGCUAAUACCGCAUACGACCUACGGGUGAAAGCAGGGGAUCUUCGGACCUUGCGCGAUUGAAUGAGCCGAUGUCGGAUUAGCUAGUUGGCGGGGUAAAGGCCCACCAAGGCGACGAUCCGUAGCUGGUCUGAGAGGAUGAUCAGCCACACGGGAACUGAGAAACGGUACAGACUCCUACGGGAGGCAGCAGUGGGGAAUAUUGGACAAUGGGCGCAAGCCUGAUCCAGCCAUACCGCGUGAGUGAAGAAGGCCUUCGGGUUGUAAAGCCCUUUUGUUGGGAAAGAAAAGCAGCAGGUUAAUACCCCGCUGUUCUGACGGUACCCAAAGAAUAAGCACCGGCUAACUUCGUG